rnacentral:tRNA from 1 species
GGGGGAUUAACUCAAAUGGUAGAGCGCGCGCUUAGCAUGCGCGAGGUAGCGGGAUCGAUGCCCGCACCCUCCA